GCAAGUCGAACGGUAACAGGUCUUCGGAUGCUGACGAGUGGCGAACGGGUGAGUAAUACAUCGGAACGUGCCCGAGAGUGGGGGAUAACGAAGCGAAAGCUUUGCUAAUACCGCAUACGAUCUCAGGAUGAAAGCAGGGGACCGCAAGGCCUUGCGCUCACGGAGCGGCCGAUGGCAGAUUAGGUAGUUGGUGGGAUAAAAGCUUACCAAGCCGACGAUCUGUAGCUGGUCUGAGAGGACGACCAGCCACACUGGGACUGAGACACGGCCCAGACUCCUACGGGAGGCAGCAGUGGGGAAUUUUGGACAAUGGGCGCAAGCCUGAUCCAGCCAUGCCGCGUGCAGGAUGAAGGCCUUCGGGUUGUAAACUGCUUUUGUACGGAACGAAAAGACUCUGGUUAAUACCUGGGGUCCAUGACGGUACCGUAAGAAUAAGCACCGGCUAACUACGUGCCAGCAGCCGCGGUAAUACGUAGGGUGCGAGCGUUAAUCGGAAUUACUGGGCGUAAAGCGUGCGCAGGCGGUUAUGUAAGACAGAUGUGAAAUCCCCGGGCUCAACCUGGGAACUGCAUUUGUGACUGCGUAGCUAGAGUACGGCAGAGGGGGAUGGAAUUCCGCGUGUAGCAGUGAAAUGCGUAGAUAUGCGGAGGAACACCGAUGGCGAAGGCAAUCCCCUGGGCCUGUACUGACGCUCAUGCACGAAAGCGUGGGGAGCAA
rnacentral:rRNA from 1 species